GACAUGGUGAUCACUGGUAACAGC
rnacentral:siRNA from 1 species